rfam:Triticum aestivum genome assembly, contig: Triticum_aestivum_CS42_TGACv1_scaffold_576885_7BL
CACGGUCUCCCUCCGUCCCGAAAUACUUGUCGGAGAAAUGGAUAUAUCUAGAUGUACUUUAGUUUUAGAUACAUCCAUUUUUAUGCAUUUCUACGACAAGUAUUUCCGGACGGAAGGAGUAGUAA